CUAGUUAUUCCCAAACCAGCCUGAUCCAGAUAUUCUGUGACGAUCUGCCUGCCUUUGCUGUGCAUUUUAGGGUCAUCAGCAGAAUGAGAGAGGAAGAAUGGAAAGAGGCAAGAGAACAGAGCUGAGAAUUAGAACUGGAAGCUUCCCCUCUGCUUAGGCAAGCUUGGCAGAACCCAUUGUGGCAAAUGGAACUGGAUGCAGCAGAACCCAGGCUUAAGCCUGGCUCAGACCUUAGACCCAGCACAGCCUCCAUAGAUCUGCAGGAACUUUGCUUGUUUUCUUCUAUUGUAGAUCAUAAAAACACUGUUAGAACCACACGUGCUUUGCAAACUUUGACCCAGUAACAUAGGCA